GACGAACGCUGGCGGCGUGCUUAACACAUGCAAGUCGAACGGAAAGGCCUUUUCGGAGGUACUCGAGUGGCGAACGGGUGAGUAACACGUGGGUGAUCUGCCCUGCACUCUGGGAUAAGCCUGGGGAGCUGGGUCUAAUACCGGAUAGGACCGCACUUUAGUGUGUGUGGUGGAAAGUUUUUUCGGUGUAGGAUGAGCCCGCGGCCUAUCAGCUUGUUGGUGGGGUAAUGGCCUACCAAGGCGGCGACGGGUAGCCGGACUGAGAGGUUGGUCGGCCACAUUGGGACUGAGAUACGGCCCAGACUCCUACGGGAGGCAGCAGUGGGGAAUAUUGCACAAUGGGCGCAAGCCUGAUGCAGCGACGCCGCGUGGGGGAUGACGGCCUUCGGGUUGUAAACUCCUUUCGCCAGGGACGAAGCGUUUUGUGACGGUACCUGGAGAAGAAGCACCGGCUAACUACGUG
rnacentral:rRNA from 1 species